UACGGGGGGAGCAAGCGUUGUUCGGAUUUACUGGGCGUAAAGGGCGCGUAGGCGGCCAGCGCAAGUCAGUUGUGAAAUCUCCGGGCUUAACUCGGAACGGUCAACUGAUACUGCGCGGCUAGAGUGCAGAAGGGGCAACUGGAGUUCUCGGUGUAGCGGUGAAAUGCGUAGAUAUCGAGAGGAACACCUGCGGCGAAGGCGGGUUGCUGGGCUGACACUGACGCUGAUGCGCGAAAGCCAGGGGAGCGAACGGG
rnacentral:rRNA from 1 species